GGCAAAAAGUUAGACUCACUCAAGACCCGGUCUUAAACAAAUUGGUCAGUUAGUGAGGCGCAUGCGCACCAGUGCAGGUCUAUGUUCGGGGAAAUUUCCCCGAACAUAGACAAGCGCAGCAGAGCAGGGAAUCCCUCAAAUCUAUGUUCAGGGAAUGUUUCUUCAUAACUUAAAUAUCCCUUUCCUUCUAUUAAUUUUGUAGCCUUCCACACUUUAUCUAUUGCCACCAUAUCCUUCUUCUAAAGUGAGGUCUUACCAUUGAUUUAUAAAGAGGCAAAAUUAUAUUUUCAUCUUGAGAGUAAUACCACAGUCUCUUACCGCCCCGUAACUCCAGUUGUCAUCUGUAUUAUAAUUCAAGUCCACCUUGGGCCAGUAAAAGCAGGUUCUGUAUCAAUGCUCCUUUAGUAGGAGAUCCGCUGUAUGUAAAGUAAUAUCCACAGUCCUGUGUAACACCUUAUUUCCAGUGAUUCUCGCUGUGAUAAUAAUAGAUAAUAGAUAAUGACAGAAAACGUGCAGGUUCAGUGGCUAUCUGUCUCGGGUGUGCCAGGAAAUGUUCUGUCUUUAGCGUGUAAAGGCCUGGUUCACAGCAAGUCAUCUACACGUUUCAUCCAUAAUGGACUUUGUCAAGACUAUGCUUGUGUUGGAAUAUACCCUACAUUAAAUAGGGAGUUAAUUGCAUAGUCCAGAUUAAAUCUUAUUGCUACCACAGUACUUUAAGGCUUUUGAAGCCUUUUUAGACCGAAACAUCAUGUGUUCU